UCUUCAAUCGCCCAUUAACAAUACCUGCACUAUCAUAAAAAUUGUUGUGGCACAGUAAAAUGAUAUAAUUACAUAAACAAUUAAAAUUGUGAAUUCAAUCAGGAAUCCAAAGACAAAAUCUCACAAGACCCUACUUAUCAACAAUCAAAUACAAUAAAUUUUGAAAUCAAUCCUGAACUCAGUGUCAGUAUUACUUCUCCCUCAACGUUCUCCAUUGAAGGAACCAAGAAGCAUGAAGAAGUUCCAAUCCCCAAAGUUUUCAACUCAAAUUGUUACUAAAGUCUUCAUAAGGUUCAAGCCAUUGAGGUAUCAAGGUCGCUUUGCAAGAAGACUUGGACUUCUCCCCAAGUUGUUGUAGGUCCUCUAGUUCGAGCAUAGUGCCAUUUGUUCUACAUUAGUAGCAUUGUUAUUGUCUAAAGACAUUCAUUUCUUUCCUAUUCUUGAAGACACUUGUUGUAAGCCUUAUGUGGCAAUAUGAAUUUGUAUAAGGGCUAUGCCCGAAUGUUCUACUGUAUUUUAGAUGGUGUAAUGUGAGACGAUCUUAUUAGAAUAAAUCCUUAUGUAUUGGUUAUGUUGAUUAAACGAGAAGCCUAUGUAAGUUUCAUUAAGUGAGGGGUCUAUGUAAACUCCUUAUAUAAUAUGUGAGAGGUUUAUGUACACCUCAAUAUGUAAAAUUUUUAAUUUUUCUGCA